UACGAAGGGGGCUAGCGUUGCUCGGAAUCACUGGGCGUAAAGCGCACGUAGGCGGAUCUUUAAGUCAGGGGUGAAAUCCCAAGGCUCAACCUUGGAACUGCCUUUGAUACUGGGGAUCUCGAGUCCGGAAGAGGUUGGUGGAACUGCGAGUGUAGAGGUGAAAUUCGUAGAUAUUCGCAAGAACACCAGUGGCGAAGGCGGCCAACUGGUCCGGUACUGACGCCGAGGUGCGAAAGCGUGGGGAGCAAACAGG
rnacentral:rRNA from 1 species